AUUGAACGCUGGCGGCAGGCUUAACACAUGCAAGUCGAGCGGGGGAAGGUAGCUUGCUACCGGACCUAGCGGCGGACGGGUGAGUAAUGCUUAGGAAUCUGCCUAUUAGUGGGGGACAACAUCUCGAAAGGGAUGCUAAUACCGCAUACGUCCUACGGGAGAAAGCAGGGGAUCUUCGGACCUUGCGCUAAUAGAUGAGCCUAAGUCGGAUUAGCUAGUUGGUGGGGUAAAGGCCUACCAAGGCGACGAUCUGUAGCGGGUCUGAGAGGAUGAUCCGCCACACGGGGACUGAGACACGGCCCAGACUCCUACGGGAGGCAGCAGUGGGGAAUAUUGGACAAUGGGGGGAACCCUGAUCCAGCCAUGCCGCGUGUGUGAAGAAGGCCUUAUGGCUGUAAAGCACUUUAAGCGAGGAGGAGGCUACUUUAGUUAAUACCUAGAGAUAGUGGACGUUACUCGCAGAAUAAGCACCGGCUAACUCUGUGCCAGCCGCCGCAGUAA
rnacentral:rRNA from 1 species